CUACGGGAGGCAGCAGUCGAGAAUCUUCGGCAAUGGGCGAAAGCCUGACCGAGCGACGCCGCGUGUGCGACGAAGGCCUUCGGGUUGUAAAGCACUGUCGAGGGGGAGGAAGCCGCAAGGUUGACCUAUCCCUGGAGGAAGGACGGGCUAAGUUCGUGCCAGCAGCCGCGGUAAGACGAACCGUCCUAACGUUGUUCGGAAUCACUGGGCUUAAAGGGCGCGUAGGCGGGCCAUCAAGUCCGGGGUGAAAUACUUCGGCUUAACCGGAGAAUUGCCUUGGAUACUGGUGGUCUAGAGGGAGGUAGGGGUCUGUGGAACUUCCGGUGGAGCGGUGAAAUGCGUUGAUAUCGGAAGGAACGCCGGUGGCGAAAGCGACGGACUGGACCUCUUCUGACGCUGAGGCGCGAAAGCCAGGGGAGCAAACGGGAUUAGAAACCCGUGUAGUCC
rnacentral:rRNA from 1 species